rnacentral:tRNA from 1 species
GGUCUUAUAGUCAAUUAUGACACUAAAUUGCAAAUUUAGAGGUGGAAAAAUUCCCAAGGCCU